rnacentral:rRNA from 1 species
GUGCCAGCAGCCGCGGUAAUACGGAGGGUGCAAGCGUUAUCCGGAAUCACUGGGCGUAAAGGGCGCGUAGGCGGCCAUUUAAGUCUGAUGUUAAAGCGUGGGGCUCAACCCCAUCAUGGCGUUGGAUACUGUAUGGCUAGACGACUGGAGAGGAAGGUAGAAUUACCAGAGUAGCGGUGGAAUGCGUAGAUACUGGUAGGAAUACCCAUAGCGAAGGCAGCCUUCUGGACAGUUAGUGACGCUGAGGCGCGAAAGUGUGGGGAGCAAACCGGAUUAGAUACCCCUGUAGUCC